rnacentral:rRNA from 1 species
AUACCGCGAAACUGCGAAUGGCUCAUUAUAUAAGUUAUCGUUUAUUUGAUAGCACAUUACUACUUGGAUAACCGUGGUAAUUCUAGAGCUAAUACAUGCUAAAAAUCCCGACUUCGGAAGGGAUGUAUUUAUUAGAUUAAAAGCCAACGCCCUUCGGGGCUCUGUGGUGAUUCAUAAUAACUGGUCGAAUCGCAUGGCCUUGCGCCGGCGAUGGUUCAUUCAAAUUUCUUCCCUAUCAACUUUCGAUGCGAGGGUCUUGUCCUCGCAUGGUUGCAACGGGUAACGGAGGGUUAGGGCUCGACCCCGGAGAAGGAGCCUGAGAAACGGCUACUACAUCCAAGGAAGGCAGCAGGCGCGCAAAUUACCCAAUCCCGACACGGGGAGGUAGUGACAAUAAAUACUGAUACAGGGCUCUUUUGGGUCUUGUAAUCGGAAUGAGUACAAUUUAAAUCCCUUAACGAGGAACAAUUGGAGGGCAAGUCUGGUGCCAGCAGCCGCGGUAAUUCCAGCUCCAAUAGCGUAUAUUAAAGUUGUUGUGGUUAAAAAGCUCGUAGUCGAACCUUGGGCCUGGCUGGCCGGUCCCCCUCACCGGGUGCACUGAUCCAGCCGGGCCUUUCCCUCUGUGGAACCCCAUGGCCUUCACUGGCUGUGCGGGGGAAACAGGACUUUUACUGUGAAAAAAUUAGAGUGCUCCAGGCAGGCCUAUGCUCGAAUACAUUAGCAUGGAAUAAUAGAAUAGGACGUGUGGUUCUAUUUUGUUGGUUUCUAGGACCGCCGUAAUGAUUAAUAGGGACAGUCGGGGGCAUCAGUAUUCAGUUGUCAGAGGUGAAAUUCUUGGAUCUACUGAAGACUAACUACUGCGAAAGCAUUUGCCAAGGAUGUUUUCAUUGAUAAGGAACGAAAGUUAGGGGAUCGAAGACGAUCAGAUACCGUCGUAAUCUUAACUAUAAACUAUGCCGACUAGGGAUCGGACGAUGUUAUUAUUUGACGCGUUCGGCACCUUUCGAGAAAUCAAAGUGC